rnacentral:rRNA from 1 species
GGGGGGACCAUCCUCCAAGGCUAAAUACUCCUGACUGACCGAUAGUGAACCAGUACCGUGAGGGAAAGGCGAAAAGAACCCCGGCGAGGGGAGUGAAAAAGAACCUGAAACCGUGUACGUACAAGCAGUGGGAGCACCCUUUGGGGUGUGACUGCGUACCUUUUGUAUAAUGGGUCAGCGACUUAUAUUCUGUAGCAAGGUUAACCGUAUAGGGGAGCCGGAGGGAAACCGAGUCUUAAUUGGGCGUUAAGUUGCAGGGUAUAGACCCGAAACCCGGUGAUCUAGCCAUGGGCAGGUUGAAGGUUGGGUAACACUAACUGGAGGACCGAACCGACUAAUGUUGAAAAAUUAGCGGAUGACCUGUGGCUGGGGGUGAAAGGCCAAUCAAACCGGGAGAUAGCUGGUUCUCCCCGAAAGCUAUUUAGGUAGCGCCUCGUGAAUUCAUCUCCGGGGGUAGAGCACUGUUUCGGCUAGGGGGCCAUCCCGGCUUACCAACCCGAUGCAAACUGCGAAUACCGGAGAAUGUUAUCACGGGAGACACACGGCGGGUGCUAACGUCCGUCGUGAAGAGGGAAACAACCCAGACCGCCAGCUAAGGUCCCAAAGUCAUGGUUAAGUGGGAAACGAUGUGGGAAGGCCCAGACAGCCAGGAUGUUGGCUUAGAAGCAGCCAUCAUUUAAAGAAAGCGUAAUAGCUCACUGGUCGAGUCGGCCUGCGCGGAAGAUGUAACGGGGCUAAACCAU